UACGAAGGGGGCUAGCGUUGCUCGGAAUCACUGGGCGUAAAGGGUGCGUAGGCGGGCUUUUAAGUCAGGGGUGAAAUCCUGGAGCUCAACUCCAGAACUGCCUUUGAUACUGAAGAUCUUGAGUUCGGGAGAGGUGAGUGGAACUGCGAGUGUAGAGGUGAAAUUCGUAGAUAUUCGCAAGAACACCAGUGGCGAAGGCGGCUCACUGGCCCGAUACUGACGCUGAGGAGCGAAAGCGUGGGGAGCGAACAGG
rnacentral:rRNA from 1 species